AGAGUUUGAUCCUGGCUCAGAUUGAACGCUGGCGGCAGGCUUAACACAUGCAAGUCGAGCGGAAACGAGAAUAGCUUGCUAUUCGGCGUCGAGCGGCGGACGGGUGAGUAAUGCUUGGGAAUAUGCUUAUGGUGGGGGACAACAGUUGGAAACGACUGCUAAUACCGCAUAAUGUCUACGGACCAAAGCGGGGGACCUUCGGGCCUCGUGCCAUAAGAUUAGCCCAAGUGAGAUUAGCUAGAUGGUGGGGUACAGGCCUACCAUGGCGACGAUCUCUAGCUGGUUUGAGAGGAUGAUCAGCCACACUGGGACUGAGACACGGCCCAGACUCCUACGGGAGGCAGCAGUGGGGAAUAUUGCACAAUGGGCGAAAGCCUGAUGCAGCCAUGCCGCGUGUGUGAAGAAGGCCUUCGGGUUGUAAAGCACUUUCAGUAGGGAGGAAAGGGUGUACGUUAAUACCGUGCAUCUGUGACGUUACCUACAGAAGAAGCACCGGCUAACUCCGUGCCAGCAGCCGCGGUAAUACGGAGGGUGCGAGCGUUAAUCGGAAUUACUGGGCGUAAAGCGUGUGUAGGCGGUUAUUUAAGCGAGAUGUGAAAUCCCGGGGCUCAACCUCGGAACUGCAUUUCGAACUGGAUAACUAGAGUUUUGUAGAGGGUGGUGGAAUUUCCAGUGUAGCGGUGAAAUGCGUAGAGAUUGGAAGGAACAUCAGUGGCGAAGGCGGCCACCUGGACAAAAACUGACGCUGAGACACGAAAGCGUGGGGAGCAAACAGGAUUAGAUACCCUGGUAGUCCACGCCGUAAACGAUGUCAACUAGCCGUCUGUAUCCUAGAGAUGUGGGUGGCGUAGCUAACGCGCUAAGUUGACCGCCUGGGGAGUACGGCCGCAAGGUUAAAACUCAAAGGAAUUGACGG
rnacentral:rRNA from 1 species